rnacentral:rRNA from 1 species
AAAUGAAUAGACGGGGACCCGCACAAGCGGUGGAGCAUGUGGUUUAAUUCGACGCAACGCGAAGAACCUUACCAGCUCUUGACAUCUUCUGUUCACUCUAGAGAUAGAGCUUCCCCUUCGGGGGCAGAAUGACAGGUGGUGCAUGGUUGUCGUCAGCUCGUGUCGUGAGAUGUUGGGUUAAGUCCCAUAACGAGCGCAACCCUUAUUGUUAGUUGCCAGCAUUCAGUUGGGCACUCUAGCGAGACUGCCGGUGAUAAACCGGAGGAAGGUGGGGAUGACGUCAAAUCAUCAUGCCCCUUAUGAGCUGGGCUACACACGUGCUACAAUGGACGGUACAACGGGUAGCGAGGGCGCGAGCCUUAGCAAAUCCUAAUAAGCCGUUCUCAGUUCGGAUUGUUCUCUGCAACUCGAGAGCAUGAAGCCGGAAUCGCUAGUAAUCGCGGAUCAGAAUGCCGCGGUGAAUACGUUCCCGGGUCUUGUACACACCGCCCGU